GCCCAGGUUACCUGAGCAAAUUCCCAGAUGAAACCUUGCUCACAAAACACAGCUUGGAGCUGCCAGUCCAGCAUUAAGCUGCCAGGAAAGUGCUUCCUGCCUUGGUACUGAUGAAUAUUUGAUCACAGGCACCUGAGCCAGGUGAAGACUCCUUGACCUCUUCUAGUAGGAAUUUAAUAGCUUUUUGGAUUGGUAUCUGGGCCACCAAUCAUACCUAACACCUCUUAUUAGAUGUAGCAAACAGCUGAUGAGCAGUGAGAAGGUGACGCGUCUGGAGCCUGUCCCGAAACUUAUGUGGUUGCUGAUGCGACCGCAGAAUGGAGGUGAAACAUUUCUCUUCUGGUUUCACAGGACCACAGGCUGGCGGCUACACCUGCCUUCCUCGCACCACCAAAAAAGGAUCCCUGUAAGAUUUCUGGGCUGUUUUCAGCACAACGGGGACUUUAGACCCAGAUUUUAGUUCUUUGCUGCUCUUCCCCUUGUGAAUUGAAGGUGCCUCGAUAAACAUUCUGAAAGGUCAGCUA